GGCUGAUUGAGAAGAUGGAGUUUGUUGGCUGUGCAGAGGAGAGGAAGAAGAAGGAGUCAGUGCUGUGAGGAGCUGCCCCUGAGAUAUCACUGAGAAGUCAGGACUUCAAGUCUCCAAACUUGGACCUGGAGAAGAUCCAAUGAACCAGAGAUAAGAGCACAUGCAAGGUCCCUGCGGAUGCUGCACUGAAGUCAAGGAUUGAUGCCUAACUCCACGCUGUUCAGCACCCUCAUAAAUAAUCUGGAUGAUGGGAAUAAAACACAGCAAGUUGGCUGAUGACACCAUACUGAGCAGUGGGCUGGACAAGCCAGAAGGGAGAGCCAUCCUAAAGGGAGAACCUGGAAUGGCAGCAGUAAUGGUGCAAAGUCUAACAAAGACAAGUGUAGUCAUACACCUGGGAUGCCAUAACCAAACAGCUCAGCACAGGCCAGGAUCUGUGACUGCAGAGGAGCUUUGCUGGAGGUGACCUGGAAGACAAGUAUGCAGCUGUGAGUUGCUGCAGCAGCAAUGGCAUGUUGGAUCCUGGGCUGUAUCCACAGGGGGCAUUCCUGGCAGAAGUAUAGACAAGAGCAUCCCACUGGCAAGUGUACUCAGCACUUGUCAGGCUGUACCUGGAGCACUGCACCCAGUUAUGGUCCCCACAAUUCAAGAACGACACAGACUGGAGAGGGUUCAAAAGUAGCCCGUGAAGACGACCAAAGGAGAACCUGCUCUAUGAGAAGAGAGUGAAGAAAUUAGAGGGUUUUUCCCCCCUGGAGAAGAGAAGGCCAAGAAGAGGACUUCAUUCAUGGUAUUUCAGUCCUUAAAGAGCAUCUGCAGAGAGGAUAGAAGCUCUCUUUUUACAAGGAGCCACCUAGAGAAGGUAUGGGGGAAUAGAUGCAAGCUGUACUGGGACAGGUUUUAUCAUGAUAUAAGGAAAGAAUUUUUUACCGCAAAGCCAAUGAUUUUUUACAGCAAAGUCAAUAAGAGACUCCAGCACUGGAGGAUUUCGAGGUGCAAUUGGACAGGACGUUAGAGAAUCUCAUCUAGGUUCCCUUUCCCCCCAAAACUGGAUCAGAUGAUAUUAUGAGGUCCCUUUCAGCUGGAGGAGUUCCAUAGUUCUGACACAUCUAUCAAAUGGAAGGGCAAAGAAAAUGUAGCUUUUUAGGAGUCACCUUCAGUGCCUAUUUCAGUAAUACUAACCAUUUAAUAACUGUUUCUACUGAAGUAUCUGACUGAAAUCCAAUAUCCCCUUUCUUCAGGGGGAGUAGCAAGGUACUGAAAAAAGGUGACCAUACACUAGCACUACUGCUGACUUGCUCUUCAAGGUAGUCUUACCAGCAGAAGCAACUUUAAUUUUUUCUUCACUGAUACCUGAAAGGGAGCAAACAUCUCUCAAAGGGAGAGGUGUUUGCUCAUACAUGCAUGUUUUGUUCUCUUUCUACCUCCUGGGUGAUUGUUACUAUUUUUUGCAGAUGAAAAGAAGUAGCAAAUGGAGUAGUUUGCAAUUUGAAUUUAACAUAAAAAUAGCCUUUUAUUUGACCUUGUAAAAUAUGAGAUUGACAGAGUGAUCUGCUCAGAUCUGUUGCCUACUUACAGAUGCAUGCAGUGCAUGCAUCUUAUCUAUUUGCAAAAGUCACUGAGGUAUGAGAACAGUGAUCUCUCAACAUCUUCAAUUAUUUUGUGUUAGGCUUGUCUCCUUUCUAAGUUGUGUAUCCAAGUUACCCAAGCUUCAUUCAUCGCAUCCCUGGGUCUUGAUAAAAAAAUCCCAUUGUAUGCAUUUUUAAAGCUCACUAUAACCACAAAUAAUUUUUUUCUUGUUAGUAUUUUUUUCCAAAUUUAGUCAAGAAAUAUAUACAUACUUUGCUGCAAAUAUGAU